ACUUGCUACUGUGCAACACAGGAAGUGUCAUUCUACCAAGCAGUGGGGGAUCCAUUUCCAGGGUGCACUUCAAGCAGGAAGUGACUUCACUCAAAGAGAUGGCCUAUUAUGUCCAGAGUGAAGAAGAGCCAUUGACAGAGGGAACAAAGACAGGACAAAGAGCAAGGAGGUCCAGGAGGUGAAAUGAGUGGUGGAACUCAUACAGGCUUUGGGAUCAGUCCACCAAUCAGAAACCAGGCCCUCAGAGUUGGCCGGGUAAGCGGCAUCUGGAAGGACGAAGUAAACCAUCACGGAGUCUGCUCUCAGCCGCCCUGAGGGGACGCAGAAAAAGAGGAAGCUUCUCAUCUUGACAAGCGUGGGAGUGCCUAUUCCAUCAGCCGAGGUAGAAGCACCAGGAAGAGAGAACGGUUGUCCCUACAGAUAUGUCCAAAACCAAGUUCAUGACCUUCUUCCCCAGACCUGGUCAUCUUCAAGGAUUCACUGUCUCAGUGAUGGCGGCAAUUUCCCUCCAAGGGCCAACACCAGGAGUCUAGCGGUAGGAAUGGCUCAUGUUCCCUGCUGACCAUGUUCUGCCCACUUUAGCCUUCAGUGUUUGGGACUUGCACGUUUCUGUGGCACUCCCUAGCUGAAACAACUCUGCUGGUUCCUGCAGAGCCUCCCAGCCAGCCUCCCUGGGUCCUCACAGCCACUCAGGCCCCUUCCACACUUGAACCUGAGAGAUCUCUAGAAACAACUGUGAGCAAGUCGCCUACCCUGCAUUAUACCCUUCAGCCCCUUUUCAUGCUCUUAGGAUAAAGACCAAAAUCUCUGUUGUGCAUAAGGUGCCGUAUGGCCUGGGCCCAUCCUCUCUCCAGCCUCCUUGCCCACACCCUCCCCUACUGUCUCCCUCUCCCUGAUUCUCCUCUCAGUCCCUCAAAUAUACCAUCUCCUCCGACCACAAGCCUGUGCACGCGUCUUCUCUGCCCAGAAAUUCCCUCCCUCUCCUUUCUUCCCUUGUUCCCUCUUGGCCACCUUCAAUAUCUGUUACCUUCCCCUGGGCAGUCACUGCUUGUGGUCCUCCUCUCCCCGCAAACCAGGUCACUUACUCCAUCACGGGCCUUCUUAAAUCCUUGUACCUUUCCUCAGGGGCCAAGGCGCCCAUGCCACUAUUUACUCACAUGUGGCUUGAUUAAUGUUGGUCACUCUCACUUUUCAUAUACAACAGGACCUUGGGCUCAGCCUCAGUUUAUCCCCAGACCAGGCAGAGGUUGAGUGUGGGUCCGUGCCUGUUGCACAAAUGAAUGAGUUCUCAGCUAUCUGGACCAAGCACAGGCUGGGGCAUCU